rnacentral:rRNA from 1 species
AGCAGCCGCGGUAAUUCCAGCUCCAAUAGCGUAUAUUAAAGUUGUUGCAGUUAAAAAGCUCGUAGUUGAAUUUCGGGACCAAUUUGUUGGUCGUGCCUCGGUACGUACUGGUAUUAUUGGUUUCUCCCUUCUGAAGAACCAUGAUGCCAUUAAUUUGGUGUCGUGGGGAAUCAGGACUGUUACUUUGAAAAAAUUAGAGUGUUUAAAGCAGGCAUACGCUUGAAUACAUUAGCAUGGAAUAAUGAAAUAGGACGUUUGAUUCUAUUUUGUUGGUUUCUAGGAUCGACGUAAUGAUUAAUAGGGAUAGUUGGGGGCAUUAGUAUUCAAUUGUCAGAGGUGAAAUUCUUGGAUUUAUUGAAGACUAACUACUGCGAAAGCAUUUGCCAAGGAUGUUUUCAUUAAUCAAGAACGAAAGUUAGGGGAUCGAAGACGAUCAGAUACCGUCGUAGUCUUAACCAUAAACUAUGCCGACUAGGGAUCGGAUGAUGUUAAUUUUUUAAUGACUCAUUCGGCGCCUUACG